GGGACCCACAAGGAUCACCAAAACUGUAUUGAAUAAUUGGCUGAAGUGAGAGGAGGGAGGAAGGAGGAUGGUUGCUGAAUCCUUGGAUCCAAAUCACCCACUAAAUAUGUCUAUUGGAAUCUGACCCCAUCCUUGGAGCACAAGUGAAGUGACUGGAGUUUAAAGGCCUGAAGUGCCUCCAUGUGCUUUUAGAAUUUUAAAGUUCCAGAGUAUUUCCAUGAAAGAGAAAGAGAACCAGUCCCCUCGUUGCUGACAGCAGAGGAUGGUAGGAGGAUGCAGCUGCUGGGCAGAUCUCUACUUCUCUGGAGUAGAUCUGUCAGUGGAGUUUGCUCCCAUCAAAAAGGCUGGCAAAGAAGGCAGCUGCUCCAGGUACUUUCCGGCAUGUGUAUGAGUCAAGAAUGGAUUGCAUUCAGAUAGAAAUUCACAGGAAUGUACAAGAGGAAAGCCUUAUUUGAGUUACCAUGGAGAGGCCAAAAAACC